rnacentral:rRNA from 1 species
AUGUGUGUGCCUAAGGAGAAAGGCGGUACAGGAUUAUGAGAUAUACACGGUUUUAGUUUAGCUAUGUUGGCAAGACAAUGCUGGAGACUUAUUGAAAACCAUGGAUCAUUAUGUGCAAGAGUAUUGAGAGCUAAGUAUUACCCCUCAUGAGAUAUAUUAAAUUAUGAAUUGAAGAAGGGGUCAUCCUAUGUUUGGCAAAGUAUUUGGGCUUGGUGUCCAAACUUAUAA